UGGUAUCCGUCGGAAGCCAUUGAUGUUUGUUGAUGUUCUUUGAACAGGUUGCAAAUUGUUUUGUUUUCUUUUUGCGUGCAUCAUUAAACGUGUUUGUUCGAAUGUUCCUUGUGAAACCUAAAGAGAAAAAACAAAUAAAAACAAACAGCUCCUGUCGAAAGCCAUCCAUACAUCCAUCCAUCGAAUGUUUAUGUAAAAUGAAAUAAAAAUGCACAACCGUUUGUUCUCUCGCGGGUAUUUUAAAUUAGAGGCAUUUUCGUAGUUUGCUUCUAUUUUCGCAAAUUAUACAUUUUAUUUGGGGUACUUCCGUUUCCCACUAUACACAAUCGGUGUCAUUCUUUUUGCCUGUCGAUGCAUACAUGCACUAAAAGAUAGUGGAUCUGCAUAUGUGUCGACGGUUUAAACUCUACACAAUUUCAAAUUUGCAUGAGAGUGAGUGUGUAUGUGUUGAAAUUGCAAUUGCACAUAGUUACAAACGUAUGUCUGUGUGCGUUGGCCAUAGCUUUUGGCCCAGGCAAUAACAAUAGCAAUAAUAAUAACAACAUAAACAAUAGAAAAAAAGCUGGGUAAUACUCUUAUAGCCUUCGGCCUAACGUGCAUCAAGCCAACAGCAUCUCGACACACAAUAAAUCUGGAUUAUAUUACAGCCACUUUUGGGAAUAAAUAUACAUAAAUAUUUUACAUUUUAAGCAAUAAAGGAGCAAUCAAUACACGAGUUGGAAAAAAAUACAACAACCACAAAGAAAUGCAAUCUAUGAAUAUUGUCUGAUAAUUAAAAUAACCGAAAGUGAACAUACAAUAUGAUUUAUAGGAACGAAAAAGUACAACGCGCAACAUAAACAAAGAAAGGAAAUACAUUCAUUUGUAUAUGUACAUAUAAGGAUGACGAUGGCCACCGAACAGAAACAGUACCAGUUAAAAACAUUAUCAUCAACUAUAACUACAAAUUCAACGGCAACUACAAGCGAUUCUUGCCUGACGUAUAUAUAAACGCAUACACAUGAACAUAUUAUAUAUGUAUGUAUUUAAAUUGUAUCCAGAUAUAAAUACAAAAGUUAUGGCAAACAAAAUCCAUAAAUAAGAACGAUCAACGAGUAUAUGCUCUGCCUUGUUUUUUGGCUUGAAUUCCUUUAUUUGUGUUGUUUUAAAUAAUAUAGAAUGUAUUUGUAAUCUGUAAAAAAAGAAAAUAAAAAAUAAAAACAAAUAAAUAAAAUACCAAACCAAAUAAAAAAGUAAAAAAGGAAGCAAUCGUACACCACACCAGUAUUGAACACUGGAUAAAGGAUCAUAAAACCAUAAAUGUAUACAAAUCUGCCAGCCAGCCAACCAACGAGCCAGUGGGAAAAGGUUACGAAAACAAAAAUAAAACUUUUUUUGUCUCUUUAUUUUUAUGAACAAGUACUCUGCAUAUUUAAGAGCUGUGAGCCGAACGCUGUGAUAUCACUGAAGUUUUCCUUUUUUAACAACUUCAAUACAAAUAUAAAAUAAUAAACCAACACCAAUCGAAACAACAAAUAGAAAAACUUUCUACAUUCAUAUGAAAAUUCAUAUUUCUGUUUUGUAAAACAGUUUGUUUAAGUUUAAACGUGUCUGUUUGUUUGUCUGUCUGUCUGUCGGGCCGUAUGUGCGGACGUGAAUGUGCCCAAAAACUACAGACACUUAAAAUUGUAUUGUUGUAUACUUUGCUCCUUAAAACGAGUAUUUGGUAGAUAACACAUAUAUAGUGUGGAUGUUAAGGAAUGAUAGAGAACAGAACAAUAAGUACAAGGCCAACGAGAAGGAAAAUUGUUUUUUAACACUACACAACUACAUAAAAACGACGUUAAGCCAGUAGUCAGUCAUAUAGCGGACCAACCAGUCAGCCACACAGUCAUUCAGUUAUAUAAAAGUUUCGUACCCAAUUGCCUUGGAUCCCAUAUAAAGUGUGAUUUAUACGCACAUUUUUCUUACAAACCUACGUACACAAAAGUAAAUCAUUGAAUGUUAUAUGUAUGUAUGUAUGUAUGUGUGUGAAUAAUUGAAUGGUUGGACGUACGGACGGACAAAUAGCCAUUUGUUUGAUAGUGUGUAAAUUUUACGUAUGUUUCAACAAACUGCUUUAUACCCAAAUACCCAAACGUACCGUAUCGCAUGAAUGUUAUUCAUUGAAACAUUUAAAAUCUCCAACAUUCAUAUAAACAAACAUACGCAAGGAAAAACGCACAAACACACACAUUCAAGUAUUGAAAUUACUAACCCACUUGUGUGCAAAUACAUUUCUCCAUUCAUUUGUACUUAUAUGUGUGUGCGUACGUAUAUGUUUGUAGGGAGCAGAAGAGCAAACAAUAGUUCAUUCUAUUUGUAAUUUUACUAUUUGGUGCUUGCUAAAGAGGCUUUACGAGCAAUAAAUGUCGAGUUAAGUCCUUUACGUCUUCUGCCUAAAGAGGCUGGUCAACCUAAACUAUUAAUUAAAGGCAACUAAAUCUGAUGGAAAAACAAGCUCGCACACACAAGUAAAUUUCGCACACCAUUUAGAUUGUACGCACCCAGACAAAUAAAAACAAAACAAAAACAUAGAAAAAACUAAAAUAUUUGGUGAAAUACGACAGCAGCAGGUUCAACGAAAUAUAUGUGAGACACUUCCAAUUGCCAUCUAAGCAAUACCAACUAGCAAACAAAAGCAAUCUAAUCACUAUACACCUACUAAACAAACGUUGUACAGUCGGAAAACACACAGACAGGCGAGGUCGGCCGUUAGCCAGUUUGUAUCACAUAAUGACCACACCGACGGAAGUGAAAUAUACGAGUUUAUCGCUGUCAUCGUUAAUCACAUGUUUUAUAUCCUGCUUUGUACUUGUUAGCUGCCUGCUGGAGAACUUUGUCUCGACGUCAGCUAAUGCUACGCCAUUGGCAGUGGCCGAGGAAGUUUUAAGUUGGGAUCAUGCAGUCGAUUUGAAUGAGGAUUUUCGUAUUUUAUGGAAAAUCAUUAAUCAAGAUAUAACAUUUGAAAUACAAGCACGUACACUGGGCUAUGUAGGUUUCGGAUUUUCACCCGAUGGUAAUAUUGCUGGCUCUGAUAUGGCCAUUGGUUGGGUUGACAGAGGCCAAACAUAUUUUCAGGACCGUCAUUUAAAACGUAAUGGAGACCCUGAGCCAAUUGUUGACCCCUCACAGGAUUACAUGCUAAUGCUGGGUUAUGAAAAUAGAACACAUACUGUACUAAGAUUUCGUAGAAAACUUGAUACUUGUGAUAAUGUACAUGACAUAGCAAUAACGAAUGAUACAAUGCGUGUUCUAUACAUGUAUAAUGAGAAUGAUCCACCACACGGGUCUGUGAGAUCUAGUCCACUACCAAAUUCCGCAGCAUCAUUUCAUCCUUAUAGGCCAAUAGUGCUGACACAACGACCGCAUAUACACUACCGGCAUUUAGAACAUAUUCGCAUACUGGAACUACGCAAUGAAGAUGUUGAACUGCCGAGAUUUGAUGACUCGUUAAUUUGGUGUAAAAUGUUUAAAUUGGACGACAUGAAGCACAAACAUCACUUAAUAAGGUAUGAACCCAUAUACGAUUCCCCAUCCAGUGUCCAUUAUUUACAACGCAUAACUCUAAGAGAAUGCCAUGGCAUGCACCAAGAAUUGGAGGAAAUGGCACGCGAACAAGGACGACAGUGCAUGGGUGCUCGUGAUAUUCCAUUAGCAUGUAAUGCUAUAGUUGCCUCGUGGUCACGCGGCUCUAAUAGUUUUACAUUCCCAGAAGAGGCUGGAUACCCAAUGGAAUCUCGCCAAUCCAAAUAUUAUCUCAUGGAAACUCACUAUAUAAAUUUACAGCCUGAUAUAAAACAAAUGUCAGCAAGACAAAUGGCAGACAACUCUGGACUAAAAAUUCAUUUUACUCAUGUAUUACGUCCUUAUGAUGCAGGAGUGCUAUCAAUUGGCAUGGAUCCAAAUUGGCGACAUAUAAUACCACCUGGACAGAAUCAGGUGGUGUCAGAAGGACAAUGUGUGGAAGACUGCACCGCAUAUGCAUUUCCACCCGAAGGCAUUCAUAUAUUUGCAGUAAUGAUGAGUACCCAUCUAAUUGGGAAGGAAGUUAAACUACGACAGAUUCGACAAACCGAAGAAUUACCACCAAUUGCACACGAUAGCAAUAUAGACGUCGCCUACCAAGACUUCCGUCGUCUGUUAACACCCGUGCAGGCAUUGCCUGGUGAUAGGCUUGUAGCUGAAUGCAUUUAUGAUAGUUCGUCACGGAAAGCAAUAACACUAGGUGGUUUAACUAUGAAGGAGGAAAGUUGUAUUGUAUUGACUCUUUACUACCCGCGACAAAAUAAGCUAACUACCUGUCAUUCACUUCCUAGUCUGCCAACAGUUCUUCACUCGCUUGGCAUUGAGCAACUAGCAACAGAUUCAAAUCCAGUACUCAUAUCUUCUCCUCCAGAAUUAUCAGGAAUGACGUUAGAGACAAGACUGUUAUCAUAUGACUGGCAAAAUCAUUUUAAUGAAUUCCAAGAGGCGACCAGAAAAGGUUCAUUUAAGCCACUUUGUUGGGGUGCAAAAAAUCAUGUUGUACCGAAUACGGAAUACCUGGAGGGUUACAACGUAAACAUUACGAAAUCCUAUAGAAAACAGAAACACUGUAAACACAAGAGACUGUUUGUGACGGAAGAAACAGUGCCUGACAUCAACUUUCCUGUUCUACAUGAAGUCGACAACAACAACAUUAUUGAGGGUGCUGCUCGAAGCAGUAGAAGUUCUGCCACAGAUGGAUUAAGUGUAACCCACGGCUAUAGUCGAACGAUUGCAACAACUUUAUCAUCUACAACAUCGUUUCUAAUGUUGCAGCAAGUAUUCAGGUGGUGGUGCUUCCUUCCAUCGUGAAAGAUUUAAAAUGUCACAAAUUCACCACAAUUGUGUCGGAGAACAUAUGAUAUUGCUACGUUGUGCAUUAAGCCAUUGGUGUAUGUUUGUGAGAGAUAACGUACAAUUAUAUAUUGAAGCUGAAGUUAAGUUAAUAUCAUUCUGAAAAAAUAUUUGAAAGCAAUAUAUUGUGUUCAAUACAUUUAAGUUUAAGGUAUAAAAAAAUUUAAUAUUUCCUAGCAAAAUCUUCACACACUUUUUACUUUUUGAGUGAAUAACUACACGUUUCUGUUAGACGAUGACAAAAAAAAAAUAACUACUUGCAAGUGCUAUUCAUAACGACCACUCAUUACCAAUUAUAAAAACAUGCAAAUAUAUUUUACUGGGUUAUGCACAUUUAAAACUAUUUUAAAUUAAAGAUUAA
rnacentral:misc_RNA from 1 species